UUCACAAUCAAUACACUUGCAGAUAGUUUUUAUUAUUGAUAAUAUUUUUAUUGCCAUCAAAAAAAAUAAUGGGUCAACUUAGUUUAAUAGUAUUUAUUGUAUCCGUAUUAUUGUUUAUGUCAUUCGAUUUAAUUAUGGCAAAUAGAAUCUGCAUAACCUAUCAAGCGGAUCGGCAU